GGGGUUGUGGCUCAGUGAUAGAGCACUCACCUAGCAUGUGCAAGGUCCUGGGUUGGACCCUCAGCACCACA
rnacentral:tRNA from 1 species